rnacentral:rRNA from 1 species
AUUGAACGCUGGCGGCAGGCCUAACACAUGCAAGUCGAGCGGAUGAAGGGAGCUUGCUCCUGGAUUCAGCGGCGGACGGGUGAGUAAUGCCUAGGAAUCUGCCUGGUAGUGGGGGAUAACGUCCGGAAACGGGCGCUAAUACCGCAUACGUCCUGAGGGAGAAAGUGGGGGAUCUUCGGACCUCACGCUAUCAGAUGAGCCUAGGUCGGAUUAGCUAGUUGGUGGGGUAAAGGCCUACCAAGGCGACGAUCCGUAACUGGUCUGAGAGGAUGAUCAGUCACACUGGAACUGAGACACGGUCCAGACUCCUACGGGAGGCAGCAGUGGGGAAUAUUGGACAAUGGGCGAAAGCCUGAUCCAGCCAUGCCGCGUGUGUGAAGAAGGUCUUCGGAUUGUAAAGCACUUUAAGUUGGGAGGAAGGGCAGUAAGUUAAUACCUUGCUAUUUUGACGUUACCGACAGAAUAAGCACCGGCUAACUUCGUG